rnacentral:rRNA from 1 species
UGGCGGCGUGCUUAACACAUGCAAGUCGAACGAUGAAGCCUUUCGGGGUGGAUUAGUGGCGAACGGGUGAGUAACACGUGGGCAAUCUGCCCUUCACUCUGGGACAAGCCCUGGAAACGGGGUCUAAUACCGGAUAACACUCUGUCCCGCAUGGGACGGGGUUAAAAGCUCCGGCGGUGAAGGAUGAGCCCGCGGCCUAUCAGCUUGUUGGUGGGGUGAUGGCCUACCAAGGCGACGACGGGUAGCCGGCCUGAGAGGGCGACCGGCCACACUGGGACUGAGACACGGCCCAGACUCCUACGGGAGGCAGCAGUGGGGAAUAUUGCACAAUGGGCGAAAGCCUGAUGCAGCGACGCCGCGUGAGGGAUGACGGCCUUCGGGUUGUAAACCUCUUUCAGCAGGGAAGAAGCGAGAGUGACGGUACCUGCAGAAGAAGCGCCGGCUAACUACGUGCCAGCAGCCGCGGUAAUACGUAGGGCGCAAGCGUUGUCCGGAAUUAUUGGGCGUAAAGAGCUCGUAGGCGGCUUGUUGCGUCGGUUGUGAAAGCCCGGGGCUUAACCCCGGGUCUGCAGUCGAUACGGGCAGGCUAGAGUGUGGUAGGGGAGAUCGGAAUUCCUGGUGUAGCGGUGAAAUGCGCAGAUAUCAGGAGGAACACCGGUGGCGAAGGCGGAUCUCUGGGCCAUUACUGACGCUGAGGAGCGAAAGCGUGGGGAGCGAACAGGAUUAGAUACCCUGGU